rnacentral:rRNA from 1 species
ACGACACGCCGCGUGAGGGAUGAAGGCUCUGGGCUGUAAACCUCUUUUCUCAAGGAAGAAGAUCUNACGGUACUUGAGGAAUAAGCCACGGCUAAUUCCGUGCCAGCAGCCGCGGUAAUACGGGAGUGGCAAGCGUUAUCCGGAAUUAUUGGGCGUAAAGCGUCCGCAGGCGGCCUUACAAGUCUGUCGUUAAAGCGUGGAGCUUAACUCCAUUUAAGCGAUGGAAACUGUAAGGCUAGAGUGUGGUAGGGGCAGAGGGAAUUCCCGGUGUAGCGGUGAAAUGCGUAGAUAUCGGGAAGAACACCAGUGGCGAAGGCGCUCUGCUGGGCCAUAACUGACGCUCAUGGACGAAAGCCAGGGGAGCGAAAGGGAUUAGAUACCCCUGUAGUCCUGGCCGUAAACGAUGAACACUAGGUGUCGGGGGAAUCGACCCCCCCGGUGUCGUAGCCAACGCGUUAAGUGUUCCGCCUGGGGAGUACGCACGCAAGUGUGAAACUCAGAGGAAUUGACGGGGGCCCGCACAAGCGGUGGAGUAUGUGGUUUAAUUCGAUGCAACGCGAAGAACCUUACCAGGGCUUGACAUCCUGCGAAUCCCUUGGAAACGAGGGAGCG